UACGGGGGGAGCAAGCGUUGUUCGGAUUUACUGGGCGUAAAGGGCGCGUAGGCGGUCAGCACAAGUCAGUUGUGAAAUCUCCGGGCUUAACUCGGAAAGGUCAACUGAUACUGUGCGACUAGAGUGCAGAAGGGCAACUGGAAUUCUCGGUGUAGCGGUGAAAUGCGUAGAUAUCGAGAGGAACACCUGCGGCGAAGGCGGGUUGCUGGGCUGACACUGACGCUGAUGCGCGAAAGCCAGGGAGCGAACGGG
rnacentral:rRNA from 1 species